rnacentral:rRNA from 1 species
AGAAUCAACGCUGGCGGCGUGCCUAACACAUGCAAGUCGCACGAGAAAGGGACUUCGGUCCUGAGUAAAGUGGCGCACGGGUGAGUAACACGUGAAUCAUCUACCUCCGAGUGGGGAAUAACUGAGAGAAAUCUUAGCUAAUACCGCAUAACACUUACGAGUCAAAGCAGCAAUGCGCUUGGAGAGGAGUUCGCGGCAGAUUAGUUAGUUGGCGGGGUAAUGGCCCACCAAGACUGUGAUCGGUA